rnacentral:rRNA from 1 species
AGAGUUUGAUCCUGGCUCAGGACGAACGCUGGCGGCGUGCUUCAGACAUGCAAGUCGAGCGGGCGGAGGCCGAACCGCAAGGGGAGGCCGAAGCUAGCGGCGAACGGGUGAGUAACACGUGGGUAAUCUACCCGGAAGACUGGGAUAACGGCCCGAAAGGGCCGCUAAUACCGGAUAAUGUCGUGGUCUCGCAUGAGGCCGCGAAGAAAGGCGAAAGCCACUUUCGGAUGAGCUCGCGACCCAUCAGCUAGUUGGUGAGGUAAUGGCCCACCAAGGCGACGACGGGUAACCGGUCUGAGAGGAUGAUCGGUCACACUGGGACUGAGAUACGGCCCAGACUCCUACGGGAGGCAGCAGUCGGGAAUAUUGGGCAAUGGGCGAAAGCCUGACCCAGCGACGCCGCGUGAGGGACGAAGGCCUUCGGGUCGUAAACCUCUGUCAUCGGGGACGAAGGAAGUGACGGUACCCGAGGAGGAAGCCCCUGCUAACUACGUGCCAGCAGCCGCGGUAAUACGUAGGGGGCGAGCGUUGUCCGGAGUUAUUGGGCGUAAAGGGCGUGUAGGCGGCCUGUUAAGUCAGGUGUGAAAUUUCAGGGCUUAACCCUGAAACUGCGCUUGAAACUGGCAGGCUUGAGGACAGGAGAGGGAAGUGGAAUUCCCGGUGUAGCGGUGGAAUGCGUAGAUAUCGGGAGGAACACCAGUGGCGAAGGCGGCUUCCUGGACUGUACCUGACGCUGAGGCGCGAAAGCUAGGGGAGCAAACAGGAUUAGAUACCCUGGUAGUCCUAGCCGUAAACGAUGAGUGCUAGGUGUGGGGGGUUUAAAUCCCUCCGUGCCGGAGUUAACGCAAUAAGCACUCCGCCUGGGGAGUACGGCCGCAAGGCUAAAACUCAAAGGAAUUGACGG